rnacentral:rRNA from 1 species
GAUGAACGCUGGCGGCGUGCCUAAUACAUGCAAGUCGAGCGAACAGACGAGGAGCUUGCUCCUCUGACGUUAGCGGCGGACGGGUGAGUAACACGUGGAUAACCUACCUAUAAGACUGGGAUAACUUCGGGAAACCGGAGCUAAUACCGGAUAACAUGUUGAACCGCAUGGUUCAACAGUGAAAGACGGUCUUGCUGUCACUUAUAGAUGGAUCCGCGCCGCAUUAGCUAGUUGGUAAGGUAACGGCUUACCAAGGCAACGAUGCGUAGCCGACCUGAGAGGGUGAUCGGCCACACUGGAAAUGAGACACGGUCCAGACUCCUACGGGAGGCAGCAGUAGGGAAUCUUCCGCAAUGGGCGAAAGCCUGACGGAGCAACGCCGCGUGAGUGAAGAAGGUCUUCGGAUCGUAAAACUCUGUUAUUAGGGAAGAACAAAUGUGUAAGUAACUAUGCACGUCUUGACGGUACCUAAUCAGAAAGCCACGGCUAACUACGUG